AUGCCCAGUCUCCUCCACCUUGGANCUGAGUAUGGCCCGACGUCGCUCUGCUGUGGGGUGGAAGGGGAAGCUCACAGGGCCACCAUGUUUGGUGGGGCAAUCUGCACGCUGCACAGCUGUAAGCAGUGGCCCCAAAGGGUCAGGAUUCCAGAACCCCUCAGACCAGCGUGCUGGGUUUUAUCUUCUGGGAAGCCAUGGCUAUCAUCCGAUUACCCUUCUGCUCCCAUUCUAACUGAGAGUCACAGAGGGGGCUGUGGGGCUCAAAGUCCCCUUUCCCACACCCCAUCACCGCCCACCCUGAGCCCCGAACAGCCAGCUGAGGUGGUGUCAGUCAACCUCCAGUUAUGACUUGGCUCUUCCAACACCCCCACCCCCACAGCAUCCCCUCCCCAGGCUAUGACUGACAAUGCAAAUUCCAAAGUUAGCAGGAAAGGCCAAGCAGGGUCAGCACUGAUUACCUUUCUAGAACCUUCCCAACUGGCAGGUCUUACACAAGGCGAGGAGCUUUCCCCAGGCCCUUGGCCAGCACAGUCCUGCACAGCGUGACAUCGUGGCAAGAGCACGUGCUCCAUUCCAGUUCUGCCUCCAGCACUUACUUACCAGCUGGUCACUUUAGGUCAAUCACGUACUGUCUCAGAGACUCGCUUUCCUUAUCUGUAAAAGACGAGGACAACAUACACCCCAUCAGGUUGCCAUGGUAAUAAGGAUGAGCACGAUAAGGGAUGGGUAGAGGAUAAAUGUCACAUUAAGAACCUGGGCUCAGGUUGUUUGUUUUCCUUGUUGUUGAGUUGUGUGAGCUCUUUAUAUAUUUUGGAGAGUAACCCCUUGUCAGAUGUAUGAUUUGUAAAUAUUUUCAAAUAUAUUUAGUUGGUGGGUUGUCUUUUUGUUUUGUUCUUGGUUUCCUUUGCCUUGCAGAAGCUCUUUAGUCUGAUGAAGUCCCACUUGGUUAUUUUUUUUGUUUGUUUCCCUUGCCCGAGUAGACAUGAUAUUCGAAAAGAUCCGUCUAAGACUGAUGUCAAAGCCUGUACUGCCUACAUUUUCUUCUAGGACUUUUAUGGUUUCAGGUCCUACCUUCAAGUCUUUGAUCCACUUUGAGUUAAUUUUUGUGUAUGAUGCAAGAUAAUGGUCUACUUUCAUUCUUUUCCAUAUGGCUGUCCAGUUUUCCCAACAUCAUUUAUUGAAGAGACUUUCCUUACUGGUGGUGAGCACGAUGCAGUAUAUACAAAAAUUGAUAGAUAAGAAUGUACAUCCGAAAUUAUGCAAUGUUAUAAACCUCUAUGAUUUCAAUAAAAUAAUUGGGGGAACAAAAAAGAAGCUGGGC
rnacentral:lncRNA from 1 species